rnacentral:lncRNA from 1 species
AUGGCCUACCCAUUCCAACUUGGUUUACAAGACGCCACAUCCCCUAUUAUAGAAGAACUAAUAAAUUUCCAUGAUCACACACUAAUAAUUGUUUUCCUAAUUAGCUCCUUAGUCCUCUAUAUCAUCUCGCUAAUAUUAACAACAAAACUAACACAUACAAGCACAAUAGAUGCACAAGAAGUUGAAACCAUUUGAACUAUUCUACCAGCUGUAAUCCUUAUCAUAAUUGCCCUCCCCUCUCUACGCAUUCUAUACAUAAUAGACGAAAUCAACAACCCCGUAUUAACCGUGAAAACCAUAGGGCACCAAUGAUACUGAAGCUACGAAUAUACUGACUAUGAAGACCUAUGCUUUGAUUCAUAUAUAAUCCCAACAAACGACCUAAAACCUGGUGAACUACGACUACUAGAAGUUGAUAACCGAGUCGUUCUGCCAAUCCGUAUAUUAAUCUCAUCUGAAGAUGUUCUCCACUCAUGAGCCAUCCCCUCACUAGGACUUAAAACUGAUGCUAUCCCAGGCCGACUAAAUCAAGCAACAGUAACAUCAAACCGACCAGGGUUAUUCUAUGGCCAAUGCUCUGAGAUUUGUGGAUCCAACCAUAGCUUUAUACCCAUUGUCCUAGAAAUGGUUCCACUAAAAUAUUUCGAAAACUGAUCUGCUUCAAUAAUUUAA